GCCCCUCCGGGAGGACAGUUUCGGAGGCGGAAACCUGCAGGUCCACUAAAAGACAGACGCCUCAAUAUAAAGUUGGAUAUUCAGUCGUAUUUUUAUUUUUUUAAAUCAGAGAAUCACUGAAACAACGAGUUAUGAGAACGAAUCAAAUUAUUUUUUUAAACCGUGGAAAGAGAAUGAGUGGAGAUAGCUUGAGCUGAGAAUCCGUGUGUAUAAAGGUAGACGCACUUUUAAGACGCACAACAUAAUAGCCGUUUCAACUGAUUCCACAAGAUAUCAGCCAUGGAUUUUUAACAUCAACACGGACUAAAGUUCGUUCUUGAAGAGGUCCGAUCCGCUCCACUCCGACCCUGUCCCAUACCAGUCCGUAUAGUGCAGGUAGAAGAUGGCAGAGAGAGUGACUUGGUGGAGAGCGUUUAUGGGGAGCAGUAAGACGAUUAGUAGUGGUACCAAGGACAUCACCCCAGCUACCCAGAUCCCAGACACAGUGAAGGACCCUCUGACGCCCCGCACACAGGGAAUCCAAGCUACACCACACUCAGCAGCCCCCAAACUCCCAACCAAUCAACAGCCACCAGCAUCACCACAACAACCAGCAUCACAGCAGCCACAGGCACCAGUCAGUACAGGCACCAGCCUCUUCAGCGACGAGACCUUCGAUGACUCCCAGUUUGAGUCGGUCUUCAACGAACAUACUUGUCGUAGGAACCUGAGGGUGUCUCGGUCAGGCCGGUUUAAGGAGAAGAAGAGGGUACGCUCCAGUCUUCCUACUGGGAAAGAGGACGUACGAUAACGAGGAUGGUGAUGAUGAGGGAGAUAGUGGCCAAAAGACUGCUCUUACUUCUGAACUUUAUUUCAACACGGCCGUCCGUUCUGGGGGAAAAGGAAGGUAGAUGAAGAUGAAUUGUAAGUUGAAGAUAAGUUGAGGGUAGAGUUGAAGAUAAGUUGAAGAUAAGUUGAGGGUAGAGUUGAGGGUAAGUUGAAGAUAAGUCAAAGAUAAGUUGAAGAUAAGUUGAAGAUAAGUUGAAGAUAGUGAUUUGAGACCUUGACUUUACUCUUUGGAACCCUUUUGUCAGUACUAGAGAGUCUGUCUGUUCCGCUGCUGCUGCUUCUUCAUCAAUCAACAUGAGAUUCAUUUCAUUGAUUUUGAUUUAUUGAUCCCUUAUGGGAAGCUGAACAUUAUUUAAUCAACUUUUUAACCCUUGAAAAUGAAUAACUUAAGCUGUGUUUCCCAUCACAAAGAAAGUGAACUGAUACUCUUCUCUACCUCCUGUCUUGUUACAUUAUAAUGGACUGCUGAUUGGCAGUAGUGAAAGUUUCUCCGUGACAGCUAGGUAGGUACUUACCAGUCCUUCCUUGAGGAAAAUCACAGGUCUGACAAGGUUUGAUUGAUUUAAAGCAAUAGGAAGACAAGUGUGUCUUUACUAAUCCAAUCCCGUAAAGAUCAGUGGUUAGGCUACUUCAAGGAAGGAAAGAAGGGAGGAAUGAAGGAAGGAAGGACCAUUUUCUGUAAGAAGUACCACCUUUCAGCUUUAAAAACUAUCCAGACUUUUCUAGCCUUUUUUGUUGUUGUAUCAAAACAGUAUACUGAAAAUGAGACACACACACACACACAGCUACGCACAUUCCAGGAAAUGAUACGCUGUUUAUAAGAUGUUUACAUAUAUAUGUGUAAUAUUCAGAAUAUGAAGGAUAUAAUAUUGUUUUUACCAAUCAAUGUUGUUGUUUUGUUUAUUUAAAAAAAAAUAUGAUUACAGUGGGUUAGAAGGGUACUUUAAAAAAAAAAAUUUAAAGAGGUGGGAUUGCUUGAAUGAAUGAGCAUUGGUGUUUGUGACGGACAGGUGAAAAUAUAAGAUUAUAUCCACUAGCUGCUAUUCGGUUACAUACAGGCACACGUUUUAGAGGGAAACAUCACCAUCUGGAGCAAAUCCUGAUAGAAGAUGCUAUUAGAAGCUAAACAGUAAGGUGUUAUAGAUGUAUAUAAUCCUGAUAGAAGAUGCUAUUAGAAGCUAAACAGUAAGGUGUUAUAGAUAUAUAUAAUCCUGAUAGAAGAUGCUAUUAGAAGCUAAACACUAAGGUGUUAUAGAUAUAUAUAAUCCUGAUAGAAGAUGCUAUUAGAAGCUAAACAGUAAGGUGUUAUAGAUAUAUAUAAUCCUGAUAGAAGAUGCUAUUAGAAGCUAAACAGUAAGGUGUUAUAGAUAUAUAUAAUCCUGAUAGAAGAUGCUAUUAGAAGCUAAACAGUAAGGUGUUAUAGAUAUAUAUAAUCCUGAUAGAAGAUGCUAUUAGAAGCUAAACAGUAAGGUGUUAUAGAUAUAUAUAAUCCUGAUAGAAGAUGCUAUUAGAAGUUAAACAGUAAGGUGUUAUAGAUAUAUAUAAUCCUGAUAGAAGAUGCUAUUAGAAGCUAAACAGUAAGGUGUUAUAGAUAUAUAUAAUCCUGAUAGAAGAUGCUAUUAGAAGCUAAACAGUAAGGUGUUAUAGAUAUAUAUAAUCCUGAUAGAAGAUGCUAUUAGAAGCUAAACAGUAAGGUGUUAUAGAUAUAUAUAAUCCUGAUAGAAGAUGCUAUUAGAAGCUAAACAGUAAGGUGUUAUAGAUAUAUAUAAUCCUGAUAGAAGAUGCUAUUAGAAGCUAAACAGUAAGGUGUUAUAGAUAUAUAUAAUCCUGAUAGAAGAUGCUAUUAGAAGCUAAACACUAAGGUGUUAUAGAUAUAUAUAAUCCUGAUAGAAGAUGCUAUUAGAAGCUAAACACUAAGGUGUUAUAGAUAUAUAUAAUCCUGAUAGAAGAUGCUAUUAGAAGCUAAACACUAAGGUGUUAUAGAUAUAUAUAAUCCUGAUAGAAGAUGCUAUUAGAAGCUAAACAGUAAGGUGUUAUAGAUAUAUAUAAUCCUGAUAGAAGAUGCUAUUAGAAGCUAAACACUAAGGUGUUAUAGAUAUAUAUAAUCCUGAUAGAAGAUGCUAUUAGAAGCUAAACAGUAAGGUGUUAUAGAUAUAUAUAAUCCUGAUAGAAGAUGCUAUUAGAAGUUAAACAGUAAGGUGUUAUAGAUAUAUAUAAUCCUGAUAGAAGAUGCUAUUAGAAGCUAAACAGUAAGGUGUUAUAGAUAUAUAUAAUCCUGAUAGAAGAUGCUAUUAGAAGCUAAACAGUAAGGUGUUAUAGAUAUAUAUAAUCCUGAUAGAAGAUACUAUUAGAAGUUAAACAGUAAGGUGUUAUAGAUAUAUAUAAUCCUGAUAGAAGAUGCUAUUAGAAGCUAAACACUAAGGUGUUAUAGAUAUAUAUAAUCCUGAUAGAAGAUGCUAUUAGAAGCUAAACAGUAAGGUGUUAUAGAUAUAUAUAAUCCUGAUAGAAGAUGCUAUUAGAAGCUAAACAGUAAGGUGUUAUAGAUAUAUAUAAUCCUGAUAGAAGAUGCUAUUAGAAGCUAAACAGUAAGGUGUUAUAGAUAUAUAUAAUCCUGAUAGAAGAUGCUAUUAGAAGCUAAACAGUAAGGUGUUAUAGAUAUAUAUAAUCCUGAUAGAAGAUGCUAUUAGAAGCUAAACAGUAAGGUGUUAUAGAUAUAUAUAAUCCUGAUAGAAGAUGCUAUUAGAAGCUAAACAGUAAGGUGUUAUAGAUAUAUAUAAUCCUGAUAGAAGAUGCUAUUAGAAGCUAAACAGUAAGGUGUUAUAGAUAUAUAUAAUCCUGAUAGAAGAUGCUAUUAGAAGCUAAACAGUAAGGUGUUAUAGAUAUAUAUAAUCCUGAUAGAAGAUGCUAUUAGAAGCUAAACAGUAAGGUGUUAUAGAUAUAUAUAAUCCUGAUAGAAGAUGCUAUUAGAAGCUAAACAGUAAGGUGUUAUAGAUAUAUAUAAUCCUGAUAGAAGAUGCUAUUAGAAGCUAAACAGUAAGGUGUUAUAGAUAUAUAUAAUCCUGAUAGAAGAUGCUAUUAGAAGCUAAACAGUAAGGUGUUAUAGAUAUAUAUAAUCCUGAUAGAAGAUGCUAUUAGAAGCUAAACAGUAAGGUGUUAUAGAUAUAUAUAAUCCUGAUAGAAGAUGCUAUUAGAAGUUAAACAGUAAGGUGUUAUAGAUAUAUAUAAUCCUGAUAGAAGAUGCUAUUAGAAGCUAAACAGUAAGGUGUUAUAGAUAUAUAUAAUCCUGAUAGAAGAUGCUAUUAGAAGCUAAACAGUAAGGUGUUAUAGAUAUAUAUAAUCCUGAUAGAAGAUGCUAUUAGAAGUUAAACAGUAAGGUGUUAUAGAUAUAUAUAAUCCUGAUAGAAGAUGCUAUUAGAAGCUAAACAGUAAGGUGUUAUAGAUAUAUAUAAUCCUGAUAGAAGAUGCUAUUAGAAGCUAAACAGUAAGGUGUUAUAGAUAUAUAUAAUCCUGAUAGAAGAUGCUAUUAGAAGCUAAACACUAAGGUGUUAUAGAUAUAUAUAAUCCUGAUAGAAGAUGCUAUUAGAAGCUAAACAGUAAGGUGUUAUAGAUAUAUAUAAUCCUGAUAGAAGAUGCUAUUAGAAGCUAAACAGUAAGGUGUUAUAGAUAUAUAUAAUCCUGAUAGAAGAUGCUAUUAGAAGUUAAACAGUAAGGUGUUAUAGAUAUAUAUAAUCCUGAUAGAAGAUGCUAUUAGAAGCUAAACAGUAAGGUGUUAUAGAUAUAUAUAAUCCUGAUAGAAGAUGCUAUUAGAAGUUAAACACUAAGGUGUUAUAGAUAUAUAUAAUCCUGAUAGAAGAUGCUAUUAGAAGCUAAACAGUAAGGUGUUAUAGAUAUAAUCCUGAUAGAAGAUGCUAUUAGAAGCUAAACAGUAAGGUGUUAUAAAUAUAUAUAAUCCUGAUAGAAGAUGCUAUUAGAAGCUAAACAUUAAGGUGUUAUACAUUUAUAUAAUCCUGAUAGAAGAUACUAUUAUAAACUAAACGGUAAGGUGUUCUAAAGUCUGUCUAUUCAGUAAUACAGUGAUUGACAUCACUGUGCUUCAAGUGAACGUGACACAUACACCAUGGUCUGUAAAUACUGCAAUGAAGGCUAAACAUGAUUGUUGUAAUGACAGAAGAACAAAUAAACGUGGAUCAAUGUGUGCCUCCA